UACGUAGGGCGCAAGCGUUGUCCGGAAUUAUUGGGCGUAAAGAGCUCGUAGGUGGCUUGUCGCGUCUGCCGUGAAAGCCCAUGGCUUAACUGUGGGUCUGCGGUGGAUACGGGCAGGCUGGAGGCUGGUAGGGGCAAGCGGAAUUCCUGGUGUAGCGGUGAAAUGCGCAAAUAUCAGGAGGAACACCGGUGGCGAAGGCGGCUUGCUGGGCCAGUUCUGACGCUGAGGAGCGAAAGCGUGGGGAGCGAACAGG
rnacentral:rRNA from 1 species